ensembl:lncRNA
AUGCAAUCCGUUAGCAUUUCCAUUCAGCUCAACAGCAGUUGCUUGGCUGGAGCAACUGCACCAGAAGUAUGCGACCUGAAUUGUAAAUGUCACAUCUGUCUCCAUUGCCGCGGAAAGCUCAUCUCUCCUACGCUGAUCCGAGACCAGCCUCUCCAGAUAAACCUAAACAAGAGCUAUUGUGAAGGUCAUUUUAAAACCAGUCUGAGAUCAGGGUGAGAGAGUGACUUCCACUAGUACCACCUCCAUAGCAAUGGAAACAGGAUCAGCACAAGAAAGACCCUUGUCCUCGCAUAAAAUACGAGACUUCUCAGUGGAGUGCAAAAACAAACACUCCCACCCUUUCAACGAGGCAUUGAGGCACAGAUUAUGAGGCAGUGCACAACACAAACCAUGUUCCAUGAACAGACAAUACCUCAGAGACCACCCUGAGGACAUUUAAACUCUGGAGCCCCCAACGAGGCUUCUUUGUCAUGUUUACACAAACCCAAACUCAACUACAUGAUUUUUGUUGUUUUCUAAAACCUAGUGAGCUGCUUCCAUUUUGCCUUCAAAGAUAUGUCUAAGGCAGUCUCUUUUAACUUUUCAAUGAACACACACACAUACACACACACACACACACACACACACAUAUAUAUAUAGAGAGAGAGAGAUUUUUUUUUUCAAAAAACAUUUAUAUAUAUAUAAUAUAAAAUAUAUAUAUGUUCAAUUAUUACAAUAUUUUUGAACAUACCUUUUCUUUUUAUAUUAAAAGUUGCAAAUCAGUUACUUGUGAGGUUCUGUUUAGGAUACUUCUUUAGGAGGCUAUAUAGGAAACAAGGCUGCUCACUAGGAUUUGGAACAUAGUUCAUGACUUUUCAAUGAUGUGUUCCCCCCAGUCCUAGCGUGACUGACCUUCACUGUCACGUGUCUCAACCACUGAGGUCUUGUGGGUCCUGGUAUCAUGACUAAGCUUGAUUAUAUGAAAAGAGAGUGGGCAUUAGCAUUGGUAUUAUUAAAGCCCUGGGCAUCACAGAAGAGCAGCUGGCCGUGAAUGCUCCAGCGAGACUCGGCCGGGCUCUGGAGCUCGCUGCAAAUGGACUGAUCUGAAAUGAAGGGUCCUUUGAACAUCUGCUAAUUUUCCAGCAGCGCUGCUGUAUGAUCUGAGGCCUAGAGAUGAGGGACACUGGGGGUUGGUUGGUUCAUCAAAACUGCUGUGAAAGCUGGAGAUUCCAGAUGA